UCGAAUAUGGUGUAGCGGCUAACAUUGCCGCCUUUCAGGGUGAAUUCUUGAUCGCGGCAGCCCGGGGUUCGACUCCCCGUAUUCGAA